UGAUAGACUACAGGCAUAAACUCACUCGUGGAGUCCUGUCCCAUGUCUUAUUAUGGACCUAUGGUACUUAAGCAUAGGAAGCAUCGGGAGCUCUCGUGUUACAAUGUUGAGUUUCUACCCUUUCUCACUCUCUCCUCUGAUGCACAGAUAAUGCCCUCCAACACAGCGACGAAGGUGGCCCGACAGCUACUGCGGCCGGAGCUCCACGUGUGGCAGGCGCCCUACGGCGUCCAUGGCCACAAGCUCCGCGAGCUCGAGGGGAGGAAAAAGAACCCACGUCCAGCAAGCCUCGCCCAUCACUCAGGGGCCAAGCUCGACCGCCGCCCAGGCACACCCUCGCGUCCGACGCGGACAAUGUUUCAUCCCAAUUCAUGAAGGACCAAGGUAAUACAGUAGGCAAGCAUAAAACUGUUCGCUUCAUUCCUUGUGCGGC
rnacentral:lncRNA from 1 species